UUCUCGGCCCACAAACCACAAGUCAAAGAACAUCGUCCUGCCAGGGCUUGGCUGGAAAGGGGCUGCUGGGCCUCGGAGACCAUCCCCUCCCACCCAGUCUGAGUCAUGCACUUAUACCCAGCCAUGUUCCAGAAAGGACUGCAGAGGCCAACACUUGCCAGACACUAGUGGACAUGUGACUGACCUCCUAAGUCACUCAGCCUCUAGGGCCUCAGUUACCUCAUCUGUGAAAUGGCACCAGGGCCUGGGAGCCCAGCCUGGGCCAGGCCUAGGGGAGUGCCUUGUCCCCACCCCACCCCUGAGCAGCCUAUGCUUGGGCAGAGUUUAGCCAGACCCCCACACAGACCCGUUAUCAUUUUUAACAUUGUCACCGUUUUCACCGUUUGGGCUUACAGAGGAGGAGACAAGGGCCCCAGAGGACAGCCAACCCACCAACCAUCUCCAACCUCUGUCCAGAAUAAAAAUCAGCUGUUCCCGCACCACCAUGAUCCCCAACCCCAACCUGUCCACACUUGGUCUCAUCCACAGAAGGCCUAGCAUCCAGCCAAGGGGCACUGAGGUGGCCCAGUCCGUUGAGCGUCAGACUUCGGCUCAGGUCAUGAUCUCACGGUCUGUGAGUUCGAGCCCCUCAUCAGGCUCUGUGCUGACAGCU